UAUGACCAUAGCAUGUUGAAACACCAGUUCUCAUAUGAUCACCAAAGUUAAACAAUGUUGAGCCUGGUCAGUACCUACAUGGGUGACUGCUUGGAAUACC